rnacentral:misc_RNA from 1 species
AAAGUCGUAACAAGGUUUCCGUAGGUGAACCUGCGGAAGGAUCAUUACCAAAGCACCUUUUUGCGGUGGACGUUUCUGUCUGCUGUGCCAACCCCUUGUUCGUUUGGAACAAGUGUGGUUAGUGCGGUGGACGUUUCUGUCUGCUGUGCCUGCCCCUUGUUCGUUUGGAACAAGUGUGGUUAGGCUUCCAACCCAUCACAACCUGUCUUAGUAUGAUUUUGAAUACGAAUAUCAAUAUAACUUUCAACAACGGAUCUCUUGGCUCUC